AACGCACAUUGCGCCCUUUGGCAUUCCGAAGGGCAUGCCCGUUCGAGCGUCAUUACACCACUCGAGCCUGGCUCGGUAUUGGGCGGCGGGGACCCCCCGCGCCUCUAAUUUGUCGGCUGGACGGUUCGAAUCUCAGCGUUGUGGUUUCAUCAGGAUCGCUGACGAGGACGACCGGACGCGCCGUUAAACCCCACCACAGGUUGACCUCGGAUCGGGUAGGGAUACCCGCUGAACUUAA
rnacentral:misc_RNA from 1 species